rnacentral:rRNA from 1 species
CCUACGGGAGGCAGCAGUGGGGAAUUUUGGACAAUGGGCGCAAGCCUGAUCCAGCAAUGCCGCGUGAGUGAAGAAGGCCUUCGGGUUGUAAAGCUCUUUUGUCAGGGAAGAAACGGUGGGAGCUAAUAUCUCCCGCUAAUGACGGUACCUGAAGAAUAAGCACCGGCUAACUACGUGCCAGCAGCCGCGGUAAUACGUGGGGUGCAAGCGUUAAUCGGAAUUACUGGGCGUAAAGCGUGCGCAGGCGGUUUUGUAAGUCUGUCGUGAAAGCCCCGGGCUCAACCUGGGAAUUGCGAUGGAGACUGCAAGGCUUGAAUCUGGCAGAGGGGGGUAGAAUUCCACGUGUAGCAGUGAAAUGCGUAGAGAUGUGGAGGAACACCGAUGGCGAAGGCAGCCCCCUGGGUCAAGAUUGACGCUCAUGCACGAAAGCGUGGGGAGCAAACAGGAUUAGAUACCCUGGUAGUCCACGCCCUAAACGAUGUCUACUAGUUGUCGGGCUUUAAUUAACUUGGUAACGCAGCUAACGCGUGAAGUAGACCGCCUGGGGAGUACGGUCGCAAGAUUAAAACUCAAAGGAUUGACGGNNGAGAGAGACGAGACGACGACGAGGGAGGAGG